CCAGUACUUCGUCAGGUUUAUCGAGUAGUAUGAAAACCAAAUCAAAUCGAGAGAGGAGAGCAGCACUCAUUUUUAAGUUCUCAUUCACCGUCUUUGCUCGGUUGUAAUGACCACCAACAGGGUUUGCUGCAGCUAAAACAGAAGUUCGUGCUGAUAGACUUGCAAGCAGGCCAGCCUUUGCAACAGAGACACAUUGUUGCU
rnacentral:misc_RNA from 1 species